rnacentral:rRNA from 1 species
GUGAAAUUGUUGAAAGGGAAACGCUUGAAGUCAGUCGCGUUGGCUAGAAAUCAGCCUUGCUUUUGCUCGGUGUACUUUCUUGUCGACGGGUCAGCAUCAGUUUUGACCAUUGGAUAAGGACAUUUGGGAAUGUGGCAUCCUUGGAUGUGUUAUAGCCCAUUGUCGCAUACGGUGGUUGGGAUUGAGGAACUCAGCACGCCCGCAAGGGCAGGGUCUUCUGAUCACUCGACGUGCUUAGGAUGCUGGCAUAAUGGCUUUAAUCGACCCGUCUUGAAACACGGACCAAGGAGUCUAACAUGCCUGCGAGUGUUUGGGUGGAAAACUCAAGCGCGUAAUGAAAGUGAAAGUCGAGAUCCCUUUGGGGAGCAUUGACGCCCGGACCAGACCUUUUGCGACGGAUCCGCGGUAGAGCAUGUAUGUUGGGACCCGAAAGAUGGUGAACUAUGCCUGAAUAGGGUGAAGCCAGAGGAAACUCUGGUGGAGGCUCGUAGCGAUUCUGACGUGCAAAUCGAUCGUCAAAUUUGGGUAUAGGGGCGAAAGACUAAUCGAACCAUCUAGUAGCUGGUUCCUGCCGAGGUUUCCCUCAGGAUAGCAGAAACUCGUAUCA